AAAUGGUAGGCAAAUCCGCCGUUCUAGCUAAAGGCUAAUAGUACCGCAAGGCUUCGGCUGCGUGGAUAGAGCAGGUAAUCAGACUUCCAAGAAAAACCGCUAAGCUUCAGGUUAUAAGAACCCGUACCGCAAACCGACACAGGUAUCCGGGAAGAGGAUUCUAAGGUGCUCGAGUAAAUCAUGGCUAAGGAACUCGGCAAAAUGGCCCUGUAACUUCGGGAGAAGGGGCGCCAAUGGCAACAUUGGCCGCAGUGAAAAGGCCCAGGCGACUGUCUAACAAAAACACAUGGCUUUGCAAAAUCGAAAUAUGAAGUAUAAGGCCUGACACCUGCCCGGUGCUGGAAGGUUAAGAGGGGAUGUCAUCCGCAAGGAGAAGCAUUGAAUCGAAGCCCCAGUAAACGGCGGCCGUAACAAUAACGGUCCUAAGGUAGCGAAAUUCCUUGUCGGGUAAGUUCCGACCUGCACGAAUGGUGUAACGAUCUGGGCGCUGUCUCAGCCAUGAGCUCGGUGAAAUUGUGGUCCCGGUGAAGACGCCGGGUACCCGCAACGGGACGGAAAGACCCCAUGCACCUUCACUACAAUUUAACAUUGACAUUGGGUACAGGAUGUGUAGGAUAGGUGGGAGGCUUUGAAGCGGGUGCGCCAGCAUUCGUGGAGCCAACGUUGAAAUACCACCCUUUCUGUAUUCGGUGUCUAACUCCGCUAAGCGGAGGACAUUGUUUGAUGGGUAGUUUGACUGGGGUGGUCGCCUCCAAAAAGGUAACGGAGGCUUUCAAAGGUAAGGUCAAUACGCUUGGUAACCGUAUGAGGAGUGCAAUAGCAUAAGCUUGCUUGACUGUGAGGCAAACAAGCCGAGCAGGGUCGAAAGACGGAUAUAGUGAUCCGGUGGUUCUGCAUGGAAGGGCCAUCGCUCAAAGGAUAAAAGGUACGCUGGGAUAACAGGCUGAUCUCCCCCAAGAGCUCAUAUCGACGGGGAGGUUUGGCACCUCGAUGUCGGCUCGUCACAUCCUGGGGCUGGAGAAGGUCCCAAGGGUUCGGCUGUUCGCCGAUUAAAGUGGCACGCGAGCUGGGUUCAGAACGUCGCGAGACAGUUCGGUCCCUAUCUGUUGUGGGCGUAGGAAUUUUGAGUGGGGCUGACCUUAGAACGAGAAGACCGGGUUGGACUAACCUCUAGUGAAUCUGUUGUUCCGCCAGGGGCAUUGCAGAGUAGCUACGUUGGGAAUAGAUAAGCGCUGAAAGCAUCUAAGUGCGAAACUAGCCACGAGAUGAGAAUUCCAUAUAGGGCCGUAGAAGACUACUACGUUGAUAGGCUAUAGGUGUAAAGCUGGUAACAGCAAAGCCGAGUAGUACUAAUAACC
rnacentral:rRNA from 1 species